CUGGCACUGGUUUAUCAUGUCACCAAAGAACAUGAAGAUUAAAAUACAGAAGAAUCUGCUGAUCAACCGAUUUGGGUUCCUGCAUGGCUCGUCCGACCUGCUCCAGUUCAAGCCAAUGACCACCAACACCACACCGACCAACACCACGUCGACUCCUCCAACUCAGCAGCUGGCAGCGCUGACGCUCAACGACACCAACAACACCAACGACACCCCCACCCCACAAAAAACAAAAAAAACCUCUCCACACCUCCCUCACCAAAAUACAACUAAUUCAACUGCUUUAUUUAAUAAAAAGGGGGGAGAUGAGGGAAGGCCCGACAGUGCAGUCGUCCAAACCAUGAGACUUGCGCUACAAGACACGGGACUAUGAGUAAACUCUAGCCCCCACGUGCCCUUGAGUAAACUCAGGGAUGGUCUUUAAAGCGCUGAGUCACGGGGCGAGGACAGUGUGCAUGCGCCGCGCCGCCAUUUCAUCUCCUUCCGCUAUUUUGUCUUACCAUAUAUAGACAUAUUGCUGUCCCAACCAAUCAGAUAAUGUUUCUGCGUUCAACCUAUAUAACUCCCGUCCACUACCCCCUCCCCGGACUCGCUCGCAGAUCGCGCAUAAGCCCACGUGCCCUGGCUCCCCGGCUUCUGCCAAUAAAGCUGUCUACUUCUCCUG
rnacentral:lncRNA from 1 species